GGGUCGGUAGCUCAGUUGGUAGAGCAGCGGACUUUUAAUCCGUAGGCCGUGGGUUCGAGUCCCACCCGACCCA
rnacentral:tRNA from 1 species